GUCUAUGAAUAAAGUAACGAUGAAAAAUUUAUCGCAUUAAUAAUGUUCAAUAAAUACUAAAAAAAUAUUUAUUAAUGUACAUCAUUGUCUUGCCAAUAAUAAUAAGGCCACGAAGUUAUCAAAUUUGAUAGUUUCUAUUAAGACAGCAUGUUUUUUUGCGUUUUAUCUUUCUGUGGUUGUAAAGACAACGAAAAAAUAUCUCAAAUCGACGCCAACGUAUUCCCAAGCGCCGACCAAAUCUGGGGCAUGGUAGGCGCAACUAUAAUUACUAUCGCAGUUUGGACUUUAUAUACUAAGGUAAAGUCAAAAAGUAAUAAUCCUACCGAUCAAAUAACAUGGAAAUGUUUCGUAAACCCCAAAUAGUCAAAACCAGAAUGAAUAAAAGUUAUUUAUUUUAA